GGAUGAAGCCUGCCCCCGUCUCCCUGUGUUCUGGGUGGGUGAUGUGCUCCGCAGCACAUCAGCGUCUUCAGAACUGGCCCCUCUGGGGCCGUCCCAGCUCAGCAGUGUCUCAGGGAGCUCUUAUUGGUCUUAGGAAAAACUUCGGACCUUUCUGCCAAUCCAGCAAGGGGGAACCUGCUUAGAAAGGGACUUCUGGCGUGAUACCAGCGGCUGAAUGCUCCCCCUUUAUCUGUUUAUAAAGAAAAAAAAUCUUGGGUUGGCCACAAAGUUCUUUCCGGUGUUCCAUACCAUCUUACUGAAAAGCCUGAACGCACUUACUUGUUGGCCAGUCCAGUACCUAAGACGAUGAGGAUGACUGGCUCUCCCUUCAACAGGCUCUGUUGCUGCUUCCUCUUCCUCCAGUCUUCUCCUUUUUGCCGUCCCAUCACUGCCCCAUUAGCUCAUGCGCCAUCGACAUCUGCUGCCUCAGGGGCUAGUGGUCUUCCUGUGUGAACUCCUGUUCCUGCCAACUGAUGCUCAGUUGGGCAGCUGGAACCAAGUUUCCAGAAUGCAAAUCCCAUGAUGCGACUCCCCUUCUCAAGGCCCUCCAACAGCUGCUAGCGCUCCUAAGAUGGAAGGUUCGGAAGAUCCCCUGGAGAAAGAAAUGGAAACCCACUCCAGUGUUCUUGCCUGGAGAAUCCCAUGGACAGAGGAGCCUGAUGGGCUACAUUCCAUGGAGUACCAGAGUCAGACAUGACUGAGUGACUAACACUUUCAUGAUUAUUUGUCCCACGUGACCUCAGAUCACCAGCUCCUGGGAGACAGAGCUGAGGGAUCCUAAUUCCCCAGCCAGGGAUCGAACCUGGGCCCUUGGAAGUGAAAGCACAGAAUCCCAACCACUGGACCACUGGAGAAUUCUCUUCACUUCACUUUCUGAUGGGUGGCCAGCCUCUGACACAGCCCUUUCUACUUUGUAAUGUUCCUUUGCACAGACUGCCUUUUUUCCUUCCCCAGCAAUUCAUAAGAGUCCGGGAAGUCAGAGGUUUCUAGAAAAUCCAAAAGGAAGAGGAGAAAAUGGUGGCGGAACAUUGUUUGGCCAAACAUCUUCAGACCUUCUGCCAGUUUACUCAGUGUCUUAGAACAAGGUGGUAGCAAGGAGCAGAAGCAGGACUCUGGUGGGAGAAGGGAGGGAGGUUCCAGAGGGAGGGGGCAUGCAUAUGCCUAUGGCCGAUUCAUGCUGAUGUAUGGCACUUCAGUUCAGUUGCUCAGUCGUCUCCGACUCUUUGCGACCCCAUCAACUGCAGCAUUCCAGGCCUCCCUGUCCAUCACCAACUCCAGGAGCUUGCUCAAACUCAUGUCCAUUGAGUCAGUGAUGCCAUCCAACCAUCUCAUCCUCUGUUGUCCCCUUCUCCUCCUGC
ensembl:lncRNA